CCAAGGAAUACUACAAUCUCCUCUCUGUGUUAGCUGCACAUUGAUAAACAUGAUUUUUUAGGGAUCUGCUUGGAGAAAACAGUGAAGAUACAGCAACCUAUAAUGAGAGGGGCCUCUGGGUGAUCAAAUACACAGACACUCCAAAAUGCUGUGUCUUCUCCAUCAGGCAGGGGCCUGCCCAUACUAGAAGUGCACCAACUGGCCGAAGAGUAACCAGACUUGGAAUGCGGAGAAUUCGGUCAGGUAGGUAUACAAAUAGAUACCUAUUUACCAUGCGCUCUGUAGUCAACACUUCACUCCUUCUUUUUACAAGGAAGCUCCAGAGAGAUGAAUUUACUUCUCAAGUUCACACAACCUUGUCUAAAGUAGGAGCCUUAUGUCUUCAUUCUGUCUCAAGAUUGAUUCAUCCAGCAUACACAUACUGAGAAUACACUACGUCCUAGCCUGUCUGCAGAUUUUUGUGCAUGGAUCAAAUGGGGAGCCUGAUUGCAUUACUGUUUUAAAGAGCCAAUUUAAAAGUUCAUUAAGUGAUCCCGGUAUGUUUUUGUGCAGGUAGUAGAAAUAUAAAGCUAUAUGUGGCAUUGAAAAA